AGCCCCUCAGCAGCCUGCCAACACUCAGCAGAUGGGUGGGACUGGACGGCGGGGUCACAUGAUCACACCUGUGGCUUACAGCAUCCCCUGACAACCGUGUGGAGAAUGACCCAGGAGGCUACUGGACUUACAAGAACAGCCUACCAAGAAUUGGCUCCUUGGUUCCCUGGAACAUCGUCUUCUUUCUGGCACAAGGAAGAACAUUUGUUACGUGUUAUCAUCCACUUUCGUGCAAAACCCCACCACCACCACCCCAGACCUGCCUGCCGUCUUUUCUUACCGGGGCUACCGCUGAAGCCCCCCAGCCGACCCGCCACGCUGGCAUGGCCCCUCAGCCCCUCCUCGCACCGCAGCCAGAGUAAGCUCUUCACAAGGUCAGUCUGCGCAUUUCUUUCUCCAGCUUAAACCCCGGAGAGGGGCUUCCCUGCUCUCACGGUAAGAAACAGAGUACUGGCUGUGUUCUCCGAGGCUCCGGGUGGUCCAGCCCAGGCCUGUCUUCUCAGCAUCCUCCCCCUGCCCCCACCCCAGACACACCCCCCUUCUUCCUUACCCUCGGCCAGCCUCCCAGCCCUCUCUGUCUGUUUAUCAUCGCACAUAUCGUCAUUUUUAUCUAUUUUUUCAAGUCUCUGAUGACCUGUCUGCUCGAAAAGCCUGUUUUCAAAAUCAGGGUCCAAGUCAUGCAUAUUUUGCUCCAUAUUUGACCCCCAAGCAUUUAGCUCCCAUGCAGCACGUGUUCCUCCCACGUCUAUUGGAUGAUGGUCUGGCUGGAGAUGUCAGAUUUGUGAUGAGCCAGUCAAACCCAGGGAGCGGACGAGAACGAGGAGGGAAGAGGGUCAGAGGAAGACUGGGAGCGUCCAUCCGCGGGGCCCAGGAGGAGUGUGCCGGGCCGUGAGGCUGUGGGCAGUCAGACCAACGGGGAGCCAUGUAAGCGGCUCUGGAAAGUCCUCCCCUCAGCGCCGGUUACUUUCUGCAGUUGUACCUGCGUCUCCUGAGGAAGUAACAGAGCUGAGUACGGAAUUUCCCGUCAUCCUCUCCUUGUGGAACAGAGACUUGCUUCACAGCCUGGGGUUGAAUAAGGACCUGUGAGCAAUUGUCACUGAAUCCUCUCCUUGGCCCCUCCCCAAGGAGACCCCAAUUCCCUGCGGGAUGGAGCACAGGUGUGUCAUGCACUUAUCUUCCAGGUGCAAAGGAUCACUCUCCGAGAGGCUGCAGGAGAGCAGGUAAAGGGCCCACCCGGGUGAAGUGGCUGUGACAAGCCGCCUCCGCCUUCUGAAAGCCGCCUGAGAGUCACCCCCUCCUGCCCCUGAGAAGGAUGGCGUCACUACCCCACGGACAGGGAAGCCAGCACAACAGGAACACGGAGCCUCAGGAAAGUGAUGCCAGAUGCAUGCAGGACGCCCGCCUGAGCUUGAAUCUCAGAUCAACAGCAGACUCUCAGUAUCAGUAUGUCCAUGCAAUGUUUAGACAUGUUUACACUAAAAAAUUACCCAUUGCUUCCUUUUUUCCUUUUUUUUAUUGAAGUCUGGUCAGUUUACAAUGUUGUGUCAGUUUCUAGUGUGCAGCACACUGUUUCAGUCACACAAGAACACACAUAUAUGCCUUCUCAUAUUAUUAUGGGUUACUACAAGAUAGUGAACGCACUUCCCUGUGCUCUACACUAUGAACGUGUUUAUUUUAUAUCUAGUAGUCAGUAUCUGCACGUCUCAAACUCUCGGUUUACCC